AGCGGACGCUGGCGGCAGGCCUAACACAUGCAAGUCGAACGGACCCUUCGGGGUUAGUGGCGGACGGGUGAGUAACACGUGGGAACGUGCCUUUAGGUUCGGAAUAACUCAGGGAAACUUGUGCUAAUACCGAAUGUGCCCUUCGGGGGAAAGAUUUAUCGCCUUUAGAGCGGCCCGCGUCUGAUUAGCUAGUUGGUGAGGUAAAGGCUCACCAAGGCUACGAUCAGUAGCUGGUCUGAGAGGAUGACCAGCCACAUUGGGACUGAGACACGGCCCAAACUCCUACGGGAGGCAGCAGUGGGGAGUCUUGCGCAAUGGGCGAAAGCCUGACGCAGCCAUGCCGCGUGGAUGAUGAAGGUCUUAGGAUUGUAAAAUCCUUUCACCGGUGAAGAUAAUGACUGUAGCCGGAGAAGAAGCCCCGGCUAACUUCGUGCCAGCCGCCGCGGUAAGAC
rnacentral:rRNA from 1 species